UGUCAUCUGUACCUCUAGCAAGC
rnacentral:piRNA from 1 species